GCCUCCGCGACGUGCUUCAGGAAGAACAGAUUGGAGUUUCGAGAUCAGCUCGUUGAUCUGUUCGUCGGUGAUCCUUGUCGAGCCCGACUGCCUCAAUCGAGAUCUCCUGCUGGACAUCCUUUGGUGUUGGUGACGGUCGAGUGGUUCGAGCAAUGUGUUUGCAGAUGGAAGAGGUCGGAGCUCUAAGGUUUUACUUCUGGAGAGAGGAUGGUCAGUCAAGUUUGAGGAUGAUAGAGUGUGAGCUGACGGAUCAAAAGACAAUGAGAAGAGGAGGUGAAGAGGGAUGCGAUCAGGAGUGAGGAAAAGGAGGAGAGAGAUAGAGGUAAAUAGGGCACAAGGGAGAGACACAGAAG
rnacentral:lncRNA from 1 species